AUAAACAUCACUUAGAGAUCAUGUCAAAAUGCAGAUUCUGAAUCUGUGUGUCUGGAAUUGGGCCUGAGAAUCUGCAUUUCCCAUGAGCUCUCAGGUGAUGUCAAU
rnacentral:pre_miRNA from 1 species